UGAUCCUCCACACAGCGAAACCAGCUUCUCAACAGACAUUGUGUGACCGGGAGAACCUAAGAGGAGACAGACAGACGGAGAGCGGAGACUUAAACCAGGAUAUUCCCUCUCACUGUGUUCUGAUGUGGCUGGAAAAUCUUCUCAGUGUUCAAUUAGAUUGAGAUCAGAAAAGCUACAGCGUAUCACCAAGCAGCCAGCUCUGGCCUUGAGAAAUGAAGCCAAUGCAAAAGUGCUAAUAACUGCAGUUGCUUGAGUGUCCACUGGGGGCUGGCUAAAGAAGUACCGGUAACCCCAUGCACACCUAUUCAAAUAAGACGAUCUGUACAGCUGAAAUAAACAUGUUUACAG